UACAGAGGUCUCAAGCGUUGUUCGGAUUCAUUGGGCGUAAAGGGUGCGUAGGCGGCGGGGUAAGUCUGAUGUGAAAUCCUGGGGCUCAACCCUGGAACUGCAUUGGAUACUGCCUUGCUAGAGAACUGGAGAGGAGACUGGAAUUUACGGUGUAGCAGUGAAAUGCGUAGAGAUCGUAAGGAAGACCAGUGGCGAAGGCGGCUCACUGGCCCGGUACUGACGCUGAGGUGCGAAAGCGUGGGGAGCAAACAGG
rnacentral:rRNA from 1 species